rnacentral:piRNA from 1 species
UGAACUAAUGCUUGCAUAGUAAGC